rnacentral:rRNA from 1 species
CCUACGGGAGGCAGCAGUGGGGAAUUUUGGACAAUGGGCGCAAGCCUGAUCCAGCCAUGCCGCGUGCGGGAAGAAGGCCUUCGGGUUGUAAACCGCUUUUGUCAGGGAAGAAAUCCUUUGGGCUAAUACCUCGGAGGGAUGACGGUACCUGAAGAAUAAGCACCGGCUAACUACGUGCCAGCAGCCGCGGUAAUACGUAGGGUGCGAGCGUUAAUCGGAAUUACUGGGCGUAAAGCGUGCGCAGGCGGUUAUGCAAGACAGAUGUGAAAUCCCCGGGCUUAACCUGGGAACUGCAUUUGUGACUGCAUAGCUCGAGUACGGCAGAGGGGGAUGGAAUUCCGCGUGUAGCAGUGAAAUGCGUAGAUAUGCGGAGGAACACCGAUGGCGAAGGCAAUCCCCUGGGCCUGUACUGACGCUCAUGCACGAAAGCGUGGGGAGCAAACAGGAUUAGAUACCCUGGUAGUCCACGCCCUAAACCGAUGUCAACUGGUUGUUGGACGGCUUGCUGUUCNGUAACGAAGCUAACGCGUGAAGUUGACCGCCUGGGGAGUACGGCCGCGAGGUUGAAACUCAAAUGAAUUGACGG